rnacentral:ncRNA from 1 species
ACUUUUCUGCCACCGGGUAGAAGAGUCAAUCGCUGAACUUUCUAUCGUUAGGUCUAAGAAGAUAGAAAGCUUCGGCGUUUUUUAUUU